rnacentral:rRNA from 1 species
AUUGAACGCUGGCGGAAUGCUUUACACAUGCAAGUCGAACGGUAGAGGGGGCAACCCCUCGAGAGUGGCGAACGGGUGAGUAAUAUAUCGGAACGUGCCCAGUCGUGGGGGAUAACGUAGCGAAAGUUACGCUAAUACCGCAUACGACCUAAGGAUGAAAGCGGGGGAGCGCAAGACCUCGCGCGAUUGGAGCGGCGGAUAUCGGAUUAGGUAGUUGGUGGGGUAAAGGCUCACCAAGCCAACGAUCUGUAGCUGGUCUGAGAGGACGACCAGCCACACUGGAACUGAGACACGGUCCAGACUCCUACGGGAGGCAGCAGUGGGGAAUUUUGGACAAUGGACGCAAGUCUGACCCAGCCAUUCCGCGUGCAGGAUGAAGGCCCUCGGGUUGUAAACUGCUUUUGUACGGAACGAAAAGGUCUCUCUUAAUACGGGGGACUCAUGACGGUGCCGUAAAAAUAAGCACCGGCUAACUACGUGCCAGCAGCCGCAGUAA